rnacentral:tRNA from 1 species
UUUAAUAUGGCAGAUUAGUGCAAUAGACUUAAACUCUAUAUAUAAAAUAAUUUAUUUUUUUUAUUAAAA